rnacentral:lncRNA from 1 species
GUGAACGGGUCCUGCCUAGCCUGGGACUUUUCGUUUUGGGGUGGGGAGGAGAGAGAAUGGGAAGAAGUGGAGUAGCGGUUUACCCAGUUCUGUGGUUGAGAGGUCUGGACCCGAGAUUAACCUCUCCCGUGAUCAGGAAGCCAGUCGGCGCGGAAAGCUGUGCCACCUGCACCAAGAAUGCACGCUGAAGACCGCAGCCCGGAGGCGCGGGAGGCCCUGGCCGGAGAGGAGACCCAUCCUGCCUGCCCGAGCGUCCCGGCGCCGCCUCCUCUGCGCCUCUUGGAUCCAGCAUUGAGCAGAGGCAAGAGGCCGGACCGGCAGGGCACAUCACAGGCCUGGGCCAUUGCAGGGACUGAGUGCAGGCGGGGAAGGGGAUUCUGCUGCGACCAUUUGCUGCGCGGUGUACAGAGCCCACUGGAGGAGUGGUUUUUCUGAGACUCAGUUCAAGCCACCCACCCAGGCUAAAUCCAAAAUGUUCCAAGAGUCUGAGCCGGAUACGGAAUCAGGGGCCUGUGAAUACGGGGAUUUGGAAUGGGGGCAAUGAAGAAAUAGUCCCCUCACCCAGCCCAUAGUUUAGACUAAGAUUUGUUUGCACGGAUGAUUCCUUUUACGUGUACACACACACACACACACACACACACACAGAGCUGCUUGUCUAGCAUAUGCAAGGUGCAAUGAAUACAGUGAUUCCAGAGCUCAUAGUAUUUAUGGCCUCCUUAGAAAAUCCAGUAUUGCCUGCACCUAUAGAAGUUAGGGAAAUUAGGGAAUCCAAAUUGGACCCUAGGUCUGGAACUGAAGUCCCCCAGUUACAACUGCCAGCUCUCAAGACAAGAAUAAGAGCUCACCACAAACAGGAACCCAAAGUAUGCAUCUUUUAAAGGGAAUUUUCCUUAUUUGCAAUAGUUUGUGCC